CAAUAGCGUAUAUUAAAGUUGUUGCAGUUAAAAAGCUCGUAGCUGAAUUGAUGAAGUGUGUUCUUCAAACUGUAAUAAGUUUGAUUGAACAUAAACUUCAAAUGGUUGAUCGAACAUGUUAACACAUUUAUCGAAUCAACAUUUACUUUGAGUAAAUUAGAGUGUUUCAAGCAGGCUCUUGCCUUGAAUACUCCAGCAUGGAAUAAUUAAAUGACAUCAGCAGCUUUUAUUGGUUGACGUGCAUUUGUACUGACUGAUAGGAACAGGUGGGGGCAUUCGUAUUCAACAGUCAGAGGUGAAAUUCUUAGAUUUGUUGAAGACGAACUAAUGCGAAAGCAUUUGCCAAGAAUGUUUCCAUUAG
rnacentral:rRNA from 1 species